AUUAACGCGGAAGAACAUGUAAAGGUGUUGCAGGGCUCCAUACCGCGCAUGUUCGCUACGGAACUGGACUACAGAAUGUCAGUCUGUCAAAUUCACCUGUGCUCUCUUCUCAUCAAAGAACAUUUUGGUGACAUUGUAGAGAAGGUCUGCACGCAUCUGAUCCAGAAUGGAGCCAAACCUUUGCGAGUUGCAGCUCAGGAAACCGGGCUCAAAAUUGACCAGGUGCGUAAAGCAUUGUGCGUCCUCGUCCAGCACAAUAUUGCCUCCUUUGGCUUGCACAAGCGUGGCUUUGUGGAGUACGCAGCCAGCGUGGAGCAGGUCCUGCUGUUGGUGCGAUACCCACGGUACAUCUACUGUGCGAAGACGCUGUACGGGGAUGCGGGGGAGCUGAUCGUGGAAGAGAUCCUUCAGCACGGUCAGAUGAGGAUGAGCACGGUGGUGGGGCGGGUCACACAGAGGCUGUCAGAAGGCGGGCAGUCAGUCACCAACGACCAUGUCAAGGGUAAGAUGGAGGACCUGAUCAACACCCACUUCCUGCAGAGGGUACCGGCCCCGCCCCCUGACAACAACAAAGCAGCCUUCCCUGAACUUACGAUCAGCGAACGAGACCUGUACAGGGUGCCCGCCAGCAUUGAAGUGACCCGAGGAGAAUCUGACACCUCAAAACGGAAACGAUCAACAGAAGACAGUGACCCACAGAGCUCUAGCAAGAGGCUGAAGAUUGACAGUGAAGAGCAUGCAGCCGACGAGGGUAUCCUUUGGCAUUUGAACUUUGACCGUUUCCACAAGUACCUACUUGACCACGAGAUCGUACAGGCCGUGAGUCGCAGGAUAGACUGGAAUGCAGCAGAGGUGGUGCGCACGAUGCUGAGGAUCAGCGAGUUAUCCAAGGGACUUGAGGACAAGACCUCUCAUCCAAUCUCUCUCAACGACACCAUGAGAAAUCUGCCUAAGGAGAACAAUAUGAAGUUUGGUGUCGUGGAGCAGUACUUCAAGCUGCUUUCAGAUGACCAGACUAGCAUCGUGACCAAGGUGGGCGAGACUGGAGGUGGCUCAUAUACCCUCGAUUUCCAGAAUGCCUGCAAGGCUCUGGUUGUCUCCACCAUAGAGUCAGUUGUGCAGGAGAGGUUUGGCUCCAAGAGCUUCCGUAUCUUCAAGACGUUACUGCUCAAGAAGUACCUGGAACAGAAACAGGUGGAGGAGUUUGCCCUCAUCCCAGCUAAGGAGGCCAAGGAGCUCCUGUACAAGAUGUUCUCCGAGCAUUUUGUCACCAUGCAGGAGAUCCCGCGGACCCCCGACCACGCCCCGUCCCGCACCUUCUUCCUCUUCACGGUCGACGUCAGCCAAGUCAGCCGCAUGCUGCUGGAGCGAUGCUACAAGUCCUUGGCAAACGUGAUCAGCAGACGAGCAUUUGAGACCAAGGAGAACAAGCGCUUGAUUGAGAAAUCCCAGCGCGUGGAGGCCAUCGCGGCCUCGCUUCAGAGCCACGGAGCCGACCAAUCACAGACGGCGGAGGUGGAGGACAUGAUUACACCCUUGGAGAAAAACCAGCUGGAGAAAUACCGCAGCAAAAUGUCCAAGUUGGAGCAGAGUGAGCUACAAGUGGACUCCACCAUUUUCACAUUGGGUAACUUCUUACGACUGGAGUCUGAUAGUUGAUACCGGGGCACAACAGGUACAUCUGUCUGUCGUCUUGCCUUAUGUGUUGUCUGUACCACCAGGCUGAGCCAAGCCCCGAAAACGGUGGUUGUUAAUUAACAAGAAAUGCAUAUUAGUAUACAAUUUCAUUGGAGUCUAUUGCUUUUAUGUAUGCACAAUUGCAAGCGACACGUUUUUGUGCAACAGAUGCAAGCACUCAGCUCUGAAGCUGUAGGAGCUUCACCUGAUGUAUGGGUGAACAACAAAUGGAAUGGUCGCUGGCAGCGGGAAGACUGCCAAUUGCGUCAGUACCUUCCGAAGCCAACCAGGAAACCAGCCGGGCAUGACCUGCAAAGAGCACACACAGUGGGUGCUGCUGAACCGGCUCCGCUCCGCUCUAGCCACAGCAGGUACGCUGCAUUCACGCAUUGGAUCGGCCUCAGCAAUAGCGACAGAUGUGUCUGUGGGGAAGGUCAAACCACCCAUCAUGUGCUCUCCUGCGCAGUCAUCCUCUCCUGCCUAACCAUCGGCAUUCCCAGUAGCGUUAGGGACAUUAACAACGCCUUUCGGCGGUGGUAUCUGCUCCGUUCACAAGUCCCCCUCACCGGCAAAGAAAGUACAGUUGGGGGUGACCGAUCGACGCCAUCUUGCCUGACUGCAAUAUUUUGCCGUGAACCGCGGCCACUGAUUGUACAUAGUACAAAUCCCCUGAUGUAGGUGCAUCGCACAAAAGGAACGAUGCGCGCGCGUCAACCAGCGAAAUGUAUCAUGUCCCGACCAUGGGACGUCGUUGCUAGAUAAAUGGGCGCCCUCUUUAGUUCGCGCACGGAGCCCAUAGUCAAACCGGACUGACUCUGUGAUGUAUGAUUUCUCUCAUAUGCUUAAAUAUACAAUGUCUAAAUGUAAGUACAGUUUUAAGGAAUUGAGUGGACAGACCAAAUCUUUCUAUAAAUUACAAUGUCUUAUUAUAUCUUCUAUGAGUUGAACAAGGUUGGCUUUUGUGCAGAAUAUUUCGACUUCUCCAUUCUUUUUGUGAGUGUAAAACACACACCAGGUAUGUUUGACGUUUCUGAAUGUGGCAUGUCUUAAACCAGUAAAAUGCAAGAACUGAUAAAUAAUCCAGCUUAUUACUGUUGUUUCAUUUGCCUGAUUUCCAUUCAAAAACAGAUGAAAGAACAUCAUGGACAAUCAUUAAUCUCGAACACAAGGUUUAUUUCAAAUUUACUUGUCCAAAUGUGUAAACCCUUAAUAACAAAUACAAAACUGAAUUUGUAAAUCAUGUUUUAAUAAAUGGCUUUUCAAACUUACGGUCUCAUGCGGUUAAUUAUUUUUUUAGAGUUUGGUUUAAUUAAGGGCCAAAGCCUUAUCCUUUGUUUAAAAAGCGUUAUUAAAAUUAGGGACGAAAAUGUACAUGUUAUACUUCAAGAUGAAUAUUAAGAUAUGUUUGUCCACCUUUUGAAUGAGAAUAAAGAGACAUAAAAAUAGAGAAAGAUAAACCAA